GGAAUUAUAUCCAAAUAAUAUAUUCUCUUCUGCGACUGUCCAUUUAUUUAGUCAUAUUUCGGUAACACGUUUUAUAAUGAAAAAUUACCACUUCUAUCUAAAAUAUCAUCAAAAAUAUUGCAGGGAUUUCAAUAUUAUUUUCAUUUUACUAUACCGAUAUUUUGCAGUAGACAAGCCCAUAAAUAUUGAAAAUAUAUACGAAAUGAUUAUAGAUACAAUAGAGAUUAAUUCUGACAAAGUCAAAAAAUCAGUAAAAAGGACAAAAGAAGUUAAAUUUGCUGUUGGAAUGAUAGUAAGGCAUACGUGGAAAAAUCAUCUUUUUAAUGGCCAUGACGGCGUAAUUAUUGGGUGACACAAUAAAUGUGACGCAAUGUUCCUAAACAAUGUAAAGAGGCCUCCUUUGCUUUCCUUUCUACAAUGUUUUGAAUUCAGUCAUAUUUGCGAAUGUAAGAAAUUUUCAUCCAGUGCCUAUCAACAGUACUAUAUACUUCUCACCGAGAAUAUUGAGAUAAGUUAUGCCCAGCAAGAUCAUCUAUCAAUAUGUCCACCAAAAAAUAUAAAUCAUAUGGAAAUUGGAAGAUAUUUCUGCAGUUUCGAAGAGAUUCAUUACGUACCGAAUGAAAGCUUAAAAGAAGAAUAUCCAGAAGAUAUUGCUGCAAUAACCAGAAUACUUGCCAAACAAUAGUUUUUAUUAAAAUAUCCAGCUGUUCUCUCAACAAUAUUUCUCAAUUUUAUCUUACAUUAUGAAUGACAUGUGUACGUGUACAUAUACAAUUAAUAUAUAUAAAAUUUUAUUUUAUAAAUUUUGUAAAUCUUACAAUAUAAAAAAGUACAUUUUAUUGUAGAUAUAAAUAAAAAAAAAAUAAAGGUU